rnacentral:tRNA from 1 species
GCAUUGGUGGCUCAGUGGUAGAACUCUUACCUUCCGUGCUGGAGGCCAGGGUUCGAUUCCCAGCCAAUGCA